GCUGGGAUGAUCCUUGGUGGUCCGAGGUGUAGGCUUCAAACCUAUGGCUGAAUGACUUCGGAGCGAUUCAAUUCCACCCUCCUGGC
rnacentral:tRNA from 1 species